rnacentral:rRNA from 1 species
CCUACGGGAGGCAGCAGUGGGGAAUAUUGCGCAAUGGGCGAAAGCCUGACGCAGCGCCGCCGCGUGAGGGAUGAAGGUCUUCGGAUUGUAAACCUCUGUCAGCAGGGAAGAACGGUCACUGUGCUAAUCAGUAGUGCAUUGACGGUACCUGCAAAGGAAGCACCGGCUAACUCCGUGCCAGCAGCCGCGGUCAUACGCAGGGUGCGCGCGUUAAUCGGAAUUAUUGGGCGUAAGGCGCUCGUAGGCGGUAUGUCAAGUCAAGGGUGAAAUCCCCGCGCUCAACGUGGGAACUGCAUUUGAAACUGGCAAACUGGAGUGUGUGAGAGGAUAGGGGAAUUCCAGGUGUAGGAGUGAAAUCCGUAGAUAUCUGGAGGAACAUCAGUGGCGAAGGCGACUAUCUGGCACAUAACUGACGCUGAGGAGCGAAAGCGUGGGUAGCAAACAGGAUUAGAUACCCCGGUAGUC